CAAGGUGUAGCGCAGCUUGGUAGCGCAUCUGUUUUGGGAACAGAAGGUCAUAGGUUCAAAUCCUAUCACCUUGA
rnacentral:tRNA from 1 species